rnacentral:lncRNA from 10 species
UCCCAGCUACCAGGGAGGCCGAGGUGGGAGGAUAUCACUUGAGCCCAGAAGUUAAGGCAGCAGUGAGCCAUGAUUGCAUUACUGCACUCUAGCCUAGGUGACAAGCAAGAUUCUAUCUAAAAAAAAAAAAAAAAAAGUUGCUUGGGGCCUACCCCAGAGAUUCUGAUUUAAUAAUUUUUACACUGCACCCCGCCCCCAACCCCCGCACCAGGUGAUUCUACUGUGUAUCCGAGAUUGAGAACCACCAGCUUUACAGCAAGGACAUUUUCUUACGUUCUUUGAAUUUUCUUGCAUUUCUUUGCAUGUGGAUUCUCAGUUUAUCAAAUAAAUAAAAAGGAAACCUGCAAAUGCUUGUCAAAGGCUGCUGAAACUUCAAGUCCAAAGCCCACAGAGAUUAAUGACUUUAAUCUGUAUAGUCCUUUAGAACCAUGCUUCUCAAAGUGUGACCCAUGGACCAGCAGAACAUCAAGAUCACCUGGAACCUGUUAGAAAUGCAGAGGCUGGCCACGUGUGGUGGCUUACACCUGUAAUCUAAACACUUUGGGAGGCCAGGAGUUUGAGACCAGCCUGGGCAAUACAGGGAGACCCCCAUCCCUACAAAAAUAAAAUCUGUUGGGUACGGUGGCAUCCACCUGUAAGCCCAGUAACUUGGUAGGCUGAGCCAGAACAGCUUGCAGCCAGUUUGCAGCUGCAGUGAGCCAUGACUGGGGCCACUAAUUACACUCUAGCCUAGGUGACAGAGCAAGACCCUGUACAUAAAGAAAAAAAAAAAGCAGAAACUCAGGCCCACCCAGACUGCCCACUGGAAUCUUGAGAGCUGCAAAUCAUUGAUUUUCAGCACAAACAAUUUUGCUCACCCCGGACACGGAGAGACUUGAACAAACACUAGCAUAGUUUCUAGCAGCUCAAGGCCCUGUCUCAGGGAUAACCCAGGCCCCUUUGGGUCCCUGCCUGGGGAAGCUCAAGGCUGCCAAAAGAAUUUACCAUUUGUUUCAGCCAAUGCCUGAUCAUAGGUUUCUAAUCUCCCUCGUUUUUCUUGAGAUGGAGUCACACUCUGUCACCCAGGCUGAAGUGCAGUGGCGUGAUCCCGGCUCACUGCACCCUCCGCCUCCUGGGUUCAAGCGAUUCUCCUGCCUCAGCCACCCGAGUAGCUGGGAUUACAGGUGCGCGCCACCACAACAGGCUAACUUUUGUAUUUUUAGUAGAGACAGGGUUUCACCAUGUUGGCCAGGCUGCUCUUGAACUCCUGACCUCAGGUGAUGCACCCACCUUGGCCACCCAAAGUGCUGGGAUUAUAGGCAUGAGCCAUGGCACCCAGUCCCUCCCUCUUCUUAGAGGACAUACUUUAUAAAAUUUACAAUUGUAAAUCCUUUCUGUCCCUUUGGGGGAUAUAUGUAUCUUCUGCUGCACAGGAAUGUGUUUCUCACUUUUUCUGGGAGCCAUCCCUUUGUCAUAUAAUUAUCAGGAAUGAUAAGGCCGACUCCUGGUCUCUGUGGGAGGCUAGGAUCCUAACUUUGAUAAAUAAAUUUGAGAGUUAGUAGACACAGAUAGCCGAAUCACAUUGACCAAUCUCCUUACCAGCUUUUUGUAAUUUUGCACUUCCCUAGUUCUAUUUGAACCUCCUCCCUCCCCUCUUUAAAAUUCCAUCACCUCUGCACAGAUUGGAGCUAAGCUCAGUUCUAUACUGAGGACUCUCUCCUUCUGCAGUAGUUAUUGAGUAAAAUCUGUCAUUAUUGCCUUUAGCGUCCAGCUUUUUAAGUCUCCAUUUUAAUAAGGUCCUUAUGUGAUGUGCAUGUACAUUACAGUCUGAGAAGCAGUGUCAUAAUAUUUAUCAUUCCCUCAGUGACUUAUCAUAAACAGCCCUGAAUGGGAAGGAAUCACGCCCAUUUUGCCAAUGAGUUAGAUCUUUGCUUAAGAUCACACUGGUAAACUAGAAAUUGAUUAUGCCUCAUGACUCAAUCCAGUGCUCUUUCCAAAAUGACAUGCUAAUCAGAAAGAGAAGACCACACUGCACGUGAGGACCCAGGGGAAAAAAGUUGGUGAGAGCUCACAAAAAACCAAACAUGUUUCUCUUGAUGCAUCUCCAUUGGUGCAAUGUCCUCUCAGGUUUUUUUUUUUGAUAUGGAGUUUCGCUCUUGUUGCCCAAGCUGGAGUGCAGUGGCACGAUCUCGGCUCACUGCAACCUCUGCCUCCUGGGUUCAAGCGAUUCUCCUGCCUCAGCCUCCCAAGUAGCUGGGAUUACAGGCAUGUACCACCCCGUCUGUCUAAUAUUUUGUAUUUUUAGUAGAGAUGGGGUUUCACCAUGCUGGCCAGGCUGGUCUCGAACUCCUGACCUCAAGUGAUCCUUCUACCUCGACUUCCCAAAGUGCUAGGAUUACAGGCGUGAGCCACCACACCUGACCUCAGGUUCUUCUUUAGUUGCAAGAGAACUGUUUCACCAUCAAGUGUCUUAGGUAUUAAAGUUCUAAGUUUAGGUACUGAGUUAUCCUAUCAGUAGCUGGAGUCCCAAGGAUGACAGGUACCAACCCUGUGCAAGUACCAAAGGCUAUGGCCUCAAAUGCUGCAGAAGCCCAGCCCUUUAAGGGCCCAUGCAUACCCCAUGCAACCACUGCUACAUGAAGUCAGGUGCAGGCAUGGUCUUAGUGGGUCUUAGUCCCGAACCACUCAACCCUAACUCACUCUGCAUACUCAAUCCCGAUGCUCUCCUACUUUCCCAGCUUUACCUCCAACAUCAGUAUCCAUUCUUGCUUUCCUGGGUAAACACUGAUUCCUUUCUCCUCCUGGCUGGGCCAGUCCCCUGGGUAAACACUAUUUCCUAUUUCCACCCCCACCUUUCUACUCCUGGGCCAGUUUGAUGCCUUGAGUAGACUCCCUGUGGCCGAGCUCCCUGGUAGGUCUUGAUGAUGUCACUCAAACUUACACGACAAAAUUCAAACAAAAAAGAUAAAGUUAUAUUUCAUCAUCUCUAUGUCCUUUCUUCUGAUUUGCCAAAUUAGGCUAAAAGACCAAUAGAAAAACAGCUACCAAUUUUAAACACCAAAGUCAUUCCUCUAGGAAAGACAGCAAAAUUACUAACGUGAAUGACAGGAUGAAUUUUUCCUGGUCAUUUUCAAACCACUUAGAUAGCUAGAACCAGAGGAAUCCCCCGAGGCACUUUACCCCUCAGCCAUGGAGAAUGCUGACUUUUUUUACUUUCAGCCAAUUAUAUGGUAAAUAUAAUUAUUAGUUUUAUCAGAAAAUCUUAUACAUACAGGUGAUUUCUGAUGCAUAAUUUUAUUAAAGCCAGAGAUGGACAUUUUUUCUAGAGAAACAGAUCUCUGAGGUUAGAAUGGAAGAUAAUGAAACAAGAGAUUUCACUUUAUAAUUUACCUUUGUCAAACUAUCCCAGAGCAUGUCAAUUCUAUUAUGAAA